rnacentral:lncRNA from 1 species
CCCUAACCUCCCACUGCUGUAUUGUACUUUACUUUAUUUUACUUUAUUAUUUAUUUAUUUUACAUUAUUUACAUUUCUAUUUGGUAUACUGUUGUUCUUGUUCUAUUUAUUUAUUUAUUUAUUUCUCGAAUGCACCAAUUGGGAAAGCUUACUAAAAAUUUCGUUGUACUUGACUCGUGCAAUGACAAUAAAAGGCUUUCUAUUCUAUUCUAUUUCUAUUCUAUCAGUAAUAGGUAAAGUAAAUCACCAUGGAUGUAUUUUACCGGGCUUAAGGAAAAACUGUAAAACCGCCCGCAGACAUGGCACCCAAAAGACAUUACAAAGAAUAUCUGCUGGAUGAGUCGAGCCAACCUUCAAAGGCAACCAAAUACAGACGGCUAGCAAACAAGAAAGAGAAUACUUUAAACUGCAGAGGGAAUUACAAGAAUUACCUCAGGGCAUCCUGUACAACUAACAAUAAAGAGGUUGUGAAAGAGAUUCCACUUUCAAAUAACGGUGAACGAACAUAUUCUCUGGAGGAAUAUCCAGGAGACAAUCCCACAACUAACAAACAGAAUGUUCCCGAUGAGGGCCUUGUUGCAGAAGGACCAAGCGAUCAGUCAUCUUUAGAAUGUUUGAGAGGAAAGCAUCUUGUCAGUCCAAUAAGAGAGCACCUGCUUCAGGACAGACCCAACAGAGAUUCAUCAGAGCCUGCCGGAGAGGGAGUCUCCAGAAAGACCCACCCAGUGCUAGAAUUGCCACCCUCCACCUACUCACACCGCACUUUUCAAUUUUGUGGGGAUCAACAAGAUAUGCAAAUCGGACCAGAAGCACAGGACAUGUUAGAGAAGCAACCAGGAUCCAAUGUGCCUGCUACUCCACCUCAUCAGCAAGAGACACCAAACCAACAGGCAGAGACAUUUUUGUUGGAUGGAGAUGAUCCAGCGUAUCCUGGAGCUCCACUGACAAAGGGACAAAGUUUAAUCUUACUGAUGUCUUAUGUACUAAGGCACAAUGUGACAGGUGUGGCACUUGAACAUCUACUGAACAUUGUCAAUGAACAUUUCCCUGGAAUGGUACCAGUAACCACAUACCUUUUUCACAAAGCUUAUGGACAAUAUGGAAAUUAUGUCCCCCAUUUUUACUGUCCAGCAUGUGAAAACUACUUAGGGGUAAAUAAUACCAGUGAACUAAUGUGUGGUGCUUGUAAUGCAGUAACUGAUUCAGAGAGCUGUCUCAAAAGUGGGUGUUUCUUUCUAGUGCUUAGUUUGGCUUCACAAAUCAAAACAUUGCUUGAACAAAACCAAGGUUUAAAAAAAGACUGGCAAUGUGCAUAUGUCAUUUCAGAUAUACAGUGUGGAGAAGAGUACCAGAAACUCAAAGAAUCAGGUGAAUUAGGUUGGUUUUUGUAUGUUUGAUCGAAGGAAGAUUGCAUCUACGAUGGCGAGCUUUGCCCAAUAGAACUGUGGAUGGUGUGGAUACGGCGUGGCCAGCCGUGAACACCACCAUAGAAGACCCUUGUGAAGAUCCAUUCAUAACAGAUAAGACAUAGAAAUAGAUACACGCUAACCUACCCGGGUAGUAGUAAGAGAAACACACAUAUCCGGAUAUCCCCCCCCUUGAACUCGACAUUCCUCGACCGAACAACUCCUUUCCCAAGGAGUACUGUAGCUGGGGAAUCCAGCUACAAAGGACUUAUUCUUUUGAUUUUGUUUGUUUGUUAUUAUUGUUAUUAUGUUAUUUUCAAAAGCUUUAUUUUGUACCAAAUGUAAAUGUUUAUGAUGAAAGGCAUUAAAAUAGCUCAUCUAUUCAACCAACACCAACUCCCUUUGUGAGUCAUUAGUGUUUAACUUCUUUAAGGACCUAGAGUGAUGCUAGCAUCCUAUCUGCCCCUUCCGGCUAAGACCACGGGUGCUACAUUUGUAUAUAUAAUAUCACGGCCAAAAGCUCUGUGCGCCUCCGGAUGGCCGUAGCGGGGAGCUCUCAUAGGGAUUGGGCUUCUCGGGGUUUGUUUACCGGCGUUGCUAUGUAUCCGGUCUUGUGUGUUCCAAUGGUUUAUUAGGUAGGCCUAUCUAAUAAAUCUCUGUCUAUUCAAUACUUCAUUCACU